rnacentral:lncRNA from 1 species
AAAAAAACAGCCUUUUUUUUUUUUCUCCUCCUCUUAACUUUUCUCUAACACAAUUGGCUUUCUCCCUUGAUUUAAACAGUCUUCACCUGUGCUUGCUCUUCAGCUGCUCAGCCAGCUCUUCAGGUGCCUAUUGUGCAGGCUGCUUUCCACAUCCAGUGGGAUAUCAGUGAUACCAUUGUGUUAAUGUGCUUUAGCCUUCUGCAGUUUUUACUGCCAGAUUUUCCUCCUCUGUCUGCAUCUGACCUGAAAUUUCUGGAAUAA